CCGUACACAAAAGCGCAUGUGCUGUGAGCUCGAUGAGUAGGGCGGGACACGUGGUAUCCUGUCUGAAUAUGGGGGGACCAUCCUCCAAGGCUAAAUACUCCUGACUGACCGAUAGUGAACCAGUACCGUGAGGGAAAGGCGAAAAGAACCCCGGCGAGGGGAGUGAAAAAGAACCUGAAACCGUGUACGUACAAGCAGUGGGAGCCCCACCACCAAAGCAUUCUCUGGUGUUGAAGGCCCUGCAAAGCAGCAUCGCGGUGGCGGAGCGUCGUUUGCGACGCCCAACACACAAAACAAGCGGUGAGUGCUUUGGGGUGGGGUGACUGCGUACCUUUUGUAUAAUGGGUCAGCGACUUAUAUUCUGUAGCAAGGUUAACCGAAUAGGGGAGCCGGAGGGAAACCGAGUCUUAAUUGGGCGUUAAGUUGCAGGGUAUAGACCCGAAACCCGGUGAUCUAGCCAUGGGCAGGUUGAAGGUUGGGUAACACUAACUGGAGGACCGAACCGACUAAUGUUGAAAAAUUAGCGGAUGACCUGUGGCUGGGGGUGAAAGGCCAAUCAAACCGGGAGAUAGCUGGUUCUCCCCGAAAGCUAUUUAGGUAGCGCCUCGUGAAUUCAUCUCCGGGGGUAGAGCACUGUUUCGGCUAGGGGGCCAUCCCGGCUUACCAACCCGAUGCAAACUGCGAAUACCGGAGAAUGUUAUCACGGGAGACACACGGCGGGUGCUAACGUCCGUCGUGAAGAGGGAAACAACCCAGACCGCCAGCUAAGGUCCCAAAGUCAUGGUUAAGUGGGAAACGAUGUGGGAAGGCCCAGACAGCCAGGAUGUUGGCUUAGAAGCAGCCAUCAUUUAAAGAAAGCGUAAUAGCUCACUGGUCGAGUCGGCCUGCGCGGAAGAUGUAACGGGGCUAAACCAU
rnacentral:rRNA from 1 species